AAAACUUACCUCAAGAAUUCUGUCUUCUAGAUAAAACUGAAAAGAAGUCUCCCGUGAUGGCAGAAACAGGAAUAGGGGCCGCUGGGAUCGCGCUCAUCGUCAUCUUCAUCUUUCUCUUCCUCCUUGGAGCCUUCGUCAUCUGCAAAUACACCCGGUGUGGUGGGUUCAGGAAAACAACAGCUAAAUAUUUGGGAGGAAACAGGAGAAACAGAACAGGAAAGUAACACCACAGGGUUGAUCCUGUGUCUUUUAUCCCCAGGGGCAGCUCCCGACAAGAUGAGCAAACGCUCCUACUCUAAGGAACCUGAAGAAGUGGGAACAAGUAUUCAGCCUGAGAAAGAAAGUGGUGACCCAUCCGCAGCUACGACGAGCUGCUCACCUGCCUCGGAUAAAGCAUCCCAGGUCUCAGAAGCUGAGGAACCCCACGGAGUGACUUACGCUGAGCUGAACACCAGAGCCCUAAGUGAGGGUCCCUCCAGCCAGACAGAGCAGCCCCUGGAAACCUGUGUGUACUCGACCCUUAAGGCAUAGCCAGGAGAACAGUUGGAGCCUGGAAAGGAAGAACUUCCACCAAGGGGAUGGACGAUGGAGAGAGGACCCUGGAGGCACCAGGCAAAUGGGGAUCCCUUUCCGCAAAUCUCCAAUGAAGACUUGUUCCCUUCCAAAAGUUUAUUUUUUUAAAAAACGAGAGGUAUCAUUUGCAUAGAUCAGAUGCAUGCGUCAUUUGCAUAUAUUUGCAUACACAUGAUCUAUUUCUACCUAUCCCCUUUGGUAUAACCACCGUCCAAAUAAAAACAGUAUUUCUAGCA
rnacentral:lncRNA from 1 species